CCUACGGGAGGCAGCAGUGAGGAAUAUUGGUCAAUGGGCGCGAGCCUGAACCAGCCAAGUCGCGUGAGGGAAGACGGUCCUAUGGAUUGUAAACCUCUUUUGUCGGGGAGCAAAAGACGCCACGCGUGGCGUUCCGAGAGUACCCUAAGAACAAGCAUCGGCUAACUCCGUGCCAGCAGCCGCGGUAAUACGGAGGAUGCGAGCGUUAUCCGGAUUUAUUGGGUUUAAAGGGUGCGCAGGCGGAAGAUCAAGUCAGCGGUAAAAUUGAGAGGCUCAACCUCUUCGAGCCGUUGAAACUGGUUGUCUUGAGUGAGUGAGAAGUAGGCGGAAUGCGUGGUGUAGCGGUGAAAUGCAUAGAUAUCACGCAGAACUCCGAUUGCGAAGGCAGCAUACCGGCGCUCAACUGACGCUCAUGCACGAAAGUGUGGGUAUCGAACAGGAUUAGAUACCCGGGUAGUC
rnacentral:rRNA from 1 species